rnacentral:rRNA from 1 species
AUUGAACGCUGGCGGCAUGCCUUACACAUGCAAGUCGAACGGUAACAGGUCUUCGGAUGCUGACGAGUGGCGAACGGGUGAGUAAUACAUCGGAACGUGCCUGGUAGUGGGGGAUAACUACUCGAAAGAGUGGCUAAUACCGCAUGAGAUCUACGGAUGAAAGCAGGGGAUCGCAAGACCUUGUGCUACUAGAGCGGCCGAUGGCAGAUUAGGUAGUUGGUGGGAUAAAAGCUUACCAAGCCGACGAUCUGUAGCUGGUCUGAGAGGACGAUCAGCCACACUGGGACUGAGACACGGCCCAGACUCCUACGGGAGGCAGCAGUGGGGAAUUUUGGACAAUGGGCGCAAGCCUGAUCCAGCAAUGCCGCGUGCAGGAUGAAGGCCUUCGGGUUGUAAACUGCAUUUGUACGGAACGAAAAGCCCUGGGUUAAUACCCUGGGGUCAUGACGGUACCGUAAGAAUAAGCACCGGCUAACUACGUGCCAGCCGCCGCGGUAACAC